rnacentral:rRNA from 1 species
CGGCGCACGGGUGAGUAACACGUAUCCAACCUGCCUCAUAGAGUGGAAUAGCCUUCCGAAAGGAAGAUUAAUACCGCAUAAUGUUGAAAGAUGGCAUCAUUAUUCAACCAAAGGAGCAAUCCGCUAUGAGAUGGACCCGCGGCGCAUUAGCUAGUUGGUGGGGUAACGGCCUACCAAGGCGACGAUGCGUAGCCGACCUGAGAGGGUGAUCGGCCACAUUGGGACUGAGACACGGCCCAGACUCCUACGGGAGGCAGCAGUGGGGAAUAUUGCACAAUGGGGGAAACCCUGAUGCAGCGACGCCGCGUGAGCGAAGAAGUAUUUCGGUAUGUAAAGCUCUAUCAGCAGGGAAGAAAAUGACGGUACCUGACUAAGAAGCACCGGCUAAAUACGUGCCAGCAGCCGCGGUAAUACGUAUGGUGCAAGCGUUAUCCGGAUUUACUGGGUGUAAAGGGA